GGAGCCCAACGUGGGACUCAAUCCUGGGUCUCCAGGAUCAGGCCCUGGACUGAAGGCGGUGCUAAACUGCUGAGCCACGGGGGCUGCCCCUCAAGUCACAGUUUUAGAAGAAAACCAAAGAAUGUGAUCUGCGGUGCAUGCUGCGCUUGCCAGUGGUGUGGAUGCAGAGUUCAAGCACAGACAAAGAGCAGGCAUUGAUUUCAUACUUCUGAUAGAUAAAUGAAGGAUUCAGAGCCUGAACCCAAGCUCAAAACAAGAUGCCGGAAGAAAAGAUCAAAGAGCUUAGAACAGAAUUCCAGCAAAAUUGAACACAGGAACACUGGUCGUCAAGUUACUCAUAAAUUUCAGGACCUCUUCCACUGCAUCUACUGGCAGAUAGAGGGCCAUGCCCACCAUCAUCUCUACCAGUGCCACCUCUACCCAAAGGAGUUGUUCCUCCUCUUCCACUUCCUUUACCUGGAAUAAAUGGUAAACCAUCAUCACCACCACAAUCAUUUUUGUUCAAGGCCCUCCUCCUCUAUCACUACCUUUGUUGGGGGACCUUUCGCUCUAGGAUCAUCACUUGCUCUAACUUAAAAAAUGAAGCAGAAAUAAAUGUAUAAAACUAAA